CCUGUACCUAACAAGAACCCAUCGAAUUAUGGAGGAUUUCUCGGAGUCCGUACCAUGUUCUUCUCUCUCUCGCAGUCGAUUCCGUCUUACGUAUGAGCUCAGCUGGAUUUAUUUGGGGUUCUUGUUUUGGUCCAUUUGAUGCUAAGAGACUAGGUCUGUCAGGCAGUGCUCGUGCAUCGUUCAUUGCCAGGACGGUUGGCCAGUGCGGGUUUUCAUGUGGUAAUUUACUACAUAUGCAUAAUGAUUAUUUGCUGCAAUAUUUUCAUUUUCUCACUGUGGGCUAGAAAGGUAUCGACGGAAAAAAGACUGGGUUAGUGAAUGCCUCUUCGGUUUUUCAACUGCUUAUUUGUAAGGAUCACAUAUGUGAAAUUAUGUGAAAGAGAUCAAAUGAAGAUAUCUGAAUUUUGGUAAGAAUUUCCAAAGCAAAUCGACCCAUCUGUGUAAGACAUUGAUUGAGAACGAGGUUCUAGUAAAACUCGGAGGUCACAUAACUCUUUUCAACAGCAAUGUGUAUUAAAAUGAUUUACUUAUGCUAUUUCUGCUCUCGUUAUUGACAUAUCAUGACUUCAUGAAUGAUAAUUUUCAGGGCUUGUUUCGAAAAAUCUGAUUCGAAGAUUCAUAUUUUUCGAUUUGACAAAAAAAAAUGGCUGUAGGUUAAUACUUUGGCAGCGGGUGCUGUUGCUGGGGCAGCUUUUGGUGCUGGAACCCGGAAUUGGAAACAAGUUGCUUGUUUUACCGGUCUUUUUCUUUCGUUUUUUCAGUUGGCCAAGGAUUCUAGAUCUGUCUGAUGCACCACUUUUUGGAUAUUUUUUGCCGACCCUAAUGGUGAAUAGUUUGAGUAUAACAAGACUUUUUUCUAUCCUACAUCCAAACGAAGUUCAACGGGUAAUAUUCAGCCGUACACAUUUUACACACAUUCGCAUGUAUUUGUGUGUGGAUUUCCGUUGUCUUUUUCACCCGGUGUAGAAUCUACGAGACCUUAGAACAAAGGUCCACCGUCUUUAAUUUGAUGAAAUUGAAUAUUGUGGGGGUUAAUUAUAAAAUGAGGUAGUUGAUCUAUAAUUUUGAAUGUGAAUUGUGUAAUAAAUUGGAUUCAACCAACAUAGUUAAUGAACACACUGUAUGUAUAAUUUUGUGGACUAGUCUCAUCAUGGGACCUUGUGAUAUUUACAGUUUUGGUAUAUCUCGUUUGAUUUUGGUCAA